AUUGAACGCUGGCGGCAUGCUUUACACAUGCAAGUCGAACGGCAGCACGGACUUCGGUCUGGUGGCGAGUGGCGAACGGGUGAGUAAUACAUCGGAACGUGCCCAGUUGUGGGGGAUAACUACUCGAAAGAGUAGCUAAUACCGCAUGAGAACUGAGGUUGAAAGCAGGGGAUCGCAAGACCUUGCGCAACUGGAGCGGCCGAUGGCAGAUUAGGUAGUUGGUGGGAUAAAAGCUUACCAAGCCGACGAUCUGUAGCUGGUCUGAGAGGACGACCAGCCACACUGGGACUGAGGCACGGCCCAGACUCCUAUGGGGGGCAGCAGUGGGGAAUUUUGGACAAUGGGCGAAAGCCUGAUCCAGCAAUGCCGCGUGCAGGAUGAAGGCCUUCGGGUUGUAAACUGCUUUUGUACGGAACGAAAAGCUUCGGGUUAAUACCCUGGAGUCAUGACGGUACCGUAAGAAUAAGCACCGGCUAACUACGUGCCAGCAGCCGCCGUAACAC
rnacentral:rRNA from 1 species